rnacentral:rRNA from 1 species
GUGUACAACCAUGCUACCCUGAACAAGCCCGAUCCCGUCUGAUCUUGGAAGCUAAGUAGGGUUAGGCCUGGUUACUACCUGAAUGGGAGGCCACCUAGGAAGACCAAGAGCUGUAGGAA